rnacentral:rRNA from 1 species
GACGAACGCUGGCGGCGCGCUUAACACAUGCAAGUCGAGCGAGAAACUCGGAGCUUGCUCCGGGUGGAAAGCGGCGAACGGGUGAGUAACACGUGAGGAACCUGCCCCGAAGACCGGGAUAACACCGGGAAACCGGUGCUAAUACCGGAUGCCCUCACCGGACCGCAUGAUCUGGUGAGGAAAUGGAUUCCGCUUCGGGAUGGUCUCGCGGCCUAUCAGCUUGUUGGUGGGGUAACGGCCUACCAAGGCUCCGACGGGUAGCUGGUCUGAGAGGAUGUCCAGCCACACUGGGACUGAGACACGGCCCAGACUCCUACGGGAGGCAGCAGUGGGGAAUCUUGCGCAAUGGGCGAAAGCCUGACGCAGCGACGCCGCGUGCGGGAUGAAGGCCUUCGGGUUGUAAACCGCUUUCAGCAGGGACGAUUGUGACGGUACCUGCAGAAGAAGCCCCGGCCAACUACGUGCCAGCCGCCGCAGUAACAC